AGCGAACGCUGGCGGCAGGCCUAACACAUGCAAGUCGAACGAACCUUUCGGGGUUAGUGGCGGACGGGUGAGUAACACGUGGGAACGUGCCUUUAGGUUCGGAAUAACUCAGGGAAACUUGUGCUAAUACCGAAUGUGCCCUUCGGGGGAAAGAUUAAUCGCCUUUAGAGCGGCCCGCGUCUGAUUAGCUAGUUGGUUGAGGUAAUGGCUCACCAAGGCGACGAUCAGUAGCUGGUCUGAGAGGAUGAUCAGCCACAUUGGGACUGAGACACGGCCCAAACCACGACGGCAGGCAGCAGUGGGGAAUAUUAGCCAAUGGGGGCAAGCCGAAUAUUGCCAUGCCGCGGGAGUGAGGAAGGCCUGAGGGUUGUAAAGCCCCUUCAGCGCGGACGACCAUGACGCGACCAUCAGAAGAAGCACCGGCGAACUCCGUG
rnacentral:rRNA from 1 species